GGUGGAUCUCAGGUGACCCACCCCAGAAUCGGGCACCCUCCUUUCUGGUUCCGGGUGAGUCACCUGAGAACCACA
rfam:Myotis lucifugus cont2.33523, whole genome shotgun sequence.